rnacentral:rRNA from 1 species
CGCCCCCCGAAAUACAAAUAGAUGGGGGGUACUGCCUGCCCAGUGAAUAUUUUUUAACGGCCGCGGUACUCUGACCGUGCAAAGGUAGCAUAAUCACUAGCUCUCUAAAUAAGGGCCUGUAUGAAUGGCAAGACGAGAGCCUGACUGUCUCCUCUUUUUAUAUUGAAACUUCUCUGGCCGUGCAAAAGCGGCUAUACAAGCGCUAGACGAGAAGACCCUAUCGAGCUUAAGAAAGAUAAGAAAAACGAAAAGCUAAUCUAAAUGAAAAUAAGGUUACAAACUAACACAAUUCAUAACUUUAGCUUUACUUUCCCUCUUUUUAUUUCUUUGGUUGGGGCAACCGCGGAGAACACCCACCCUCCGAACCACACUACUAUUAACCGACAUUUUGUCUUAAACACAAACCUAAUGGAAAAUGAUCCGGUAAAACCGAACAAUAAACCAAGUUACCGUAGGGAUAACAGCGUAAUCCCUCCCAAGAGCCCGCAUUGCCGGAGGGGUUUGCGACCUCGAUGUUGGAUCGGGGAAUCCCGACGGUGCAGCCGCUGUCAAAGGUUGGUCUGUUCGACCAUUAAAACCCC